rnacentral:snoRNA from 1 species
CUUCGAUGAAGAGAUGAUGACGAGUCUGACUUGGGGGUGUUACCUUUGGCCAGGCAGCCCCACUCUGUGCUGCGUUCUGUGGUACAGUUUGAAGGGCCAUGGUCAAAGAAACUUCUAAAGAUGACCUAGAGGCAUUUGUCUGAGAAGG